AGUAAAAGUCGUAACAAGGUCUCCGUUGGUGAACCAGCGGAGGGAUCAUUAAAGAGUUAUACAACUCCUAAACCCAUGUGAACAUACCUUACGUUGCCUCGGCAGGUCGCGCUUACCAUGUAGCGCCCUACCCUGUAGGGCCUACCCGGGAGGCGCGGGUAACCCUGCCGGCGGCCCACGAAACUCUGUUUACCAUUGAAUUCUGAGAUUAUAACGAAAUACGUUAAAACUUUCAACAACGGAUCUCUUGGUUCUGGCAUCGAUGGAGAACGCAGCGAAAUGCGAUAAGUAAUGUGAAUUGCAGAAUUCAGUGAAUCAUCGAAUCUUUGAACGCACAUUGCGCCCAUUAGUAUUCUAGUGGGCAUGCCUGUUCGAGCGUCAUUUCAACCCUUAAGCCCCCGUUGCUUAGCGUUGGGAGCCUACGGCACUGUAGCUCCCCAAAGUUAGUGGCAGAGUCGGUUCACACUCUAGACGUAGUAAAUUUUCACCUCGCCUGUAGUUGGACCGGUCCCUCGCCGUAAAACACCCUAAUUUUUACAAGGUUGACCUCGGAUCAGGUAGGAAUACCCGCUGAACUUAAGCAUAUCAAUAAGCGGAGGAAAAGAAACCAACAGGGAUUGCCCCAGUAACG
rnacentral:rRNA from 1 species